AAUUUAUGGAAAACAGCUGCUUGCUGGAACAUUAUGUUUCACUCAAGUAAUAUAUAGUUUCUCAGUUCAUAAAGUCAGCAUGAAUAAUAAUAAAAAAAAAUAGUAUGUUGAACAUACAGGAAGAAAGGUUGAUACUAAAUUUCCAUGUAUGCCACAUUAAAGCAAUUAAUGUUAUCAUUUGGCAAUAUAAUUGCAUGUCUUUAAAAAAUAAAAUAAUGUAGAAGUACUGAAAAAAAUGUUAAUAGAACCAUUAGCAGCAAUUGGAGCCAGAGAUAAAAUUGUUAAAUUCUUACUCAUAAUAAUGGCUAACAUCUCUUUCUCUGUUCUCUAGAUGCAUAUUCAUGCAGGUAUAACUGUGGAUAUGACUUUGGCUCUUGUUCAUGUACACACUCUUGUCAGUACUAUGGAAACUGUUGCUAUGACUAUGACAGCUACUGCUCAAUGACAACUGAUUGGCCAGAUACAACAGAUUUACCCUCCUGCAGGUAUAACUGUGGAUACGACCUCGGCAGCUGCUCAUGCAACUACGACUGUCACUAUUAUGGCAACUGUUGCCCUGAUUACGACAGCUCCUGCUCUACAACAACUGACUGGCCAGCUACAACAGGUGCACCUACGACUGUCUUAUCUGUCUGUAAAUUCAAACCUUUCUCUGGUUUCCUGGAUUUUGAUGGAGGCUGAGGUUCCUGUAGUCAGAAAUCACACACAUAUUGAUGGCUUUGGUAGUUGUACAUGUAUUAAAAUCUUCAUUGCUAAUAUGUUUUUUAAGUGACAUUUUAAGUGGUUUAAGUGACACUAAUAACAUUAAAAAACACAAUGUUAUAUACAAAGGCAGAAAUUAUUCCAGAUUUGCUCUUCUAACAAAAUGUAUACACUAAUCAGUAAAUGACUCAGUAUUGUGAACAUCACACACAUACUGAUGAUAUCUCUCUCCAUUAGCUCCCUCCUGCAGGUAUAACUGUGGAUACUACAUUGGCAGCUGCUCAUGCACCUACAGUUGUCAUUAUUAUGGCAACUGUUGCCCUGAUUAUGACAGUGAGUUACUCUUGAUGAGACAGACACUUUAAAAUCAAAUACUAUACACACAAUUACAAAUCUUUUCUAUAGUCAAUAUAUUUAACUGAGUCAAUUUUCAAACAAAUGGCUUUAAUUUCAAUUAUUAAUUUCCUAUUGAUCAGACAGAUACUUUAAGAUAAAACACUGUAAACACAAAUCUUACAUGUAGUGAGCACAUGGGUCAUUGAAUUUCUUGUCAUGAAAUGCAUUUUGCUGAAUCAAAGCAGAAUUGUGGCAUUACUUUUCUUCCCACAUCAGUUUUAUCUCUUCUGUUUACACAGACUACUGCUCAUCAACAACUGAAACUCCAGUAACCUGGGCAGAAACAACAGGUAUUGCUGCCAUUCAUUUGAAUUUAAGUGACAUUGAUGGGAUUAAUAGUAUGAAAUGGAUCAGAACAAUUUCUGUAAAGGCAGUAAUGAGACCGUUUUUAGCUAAGCAUACACACCAGUAUUUAACACAAUAACAUAUAUAUGUAUAUAUGUAUAUGUAUAUAUCACACACCUGUUAAUGACAUUGAGUAAAAUCUGUUCCUCUCUUUACUAUAGCAAAUCCCUCCUGCAGGUAUAACUGUGGAUACAAUUUCAGCAGCUGCUCAUGCAACUACGACUGUCAGUACUAUGGC
ensembl:lncRNA